GUUCGAGUGAAAUAAGGUUGACAGAGACAUUCUCAGUGCUUCACGGUGCUGAAAGGCCCAUGUUGCUGCUGGCAGAACCUCUAUCAAGGGGAAAUCUGUUGCUGUGCUGGCUUCUGCUGCCUCCUCUGCUUCUCUUGCUCCUGUGGUUGCAUUGAACCCAGCCUUCUCCUCUGAAGUUCUUGUGGUUCUGCAGCGUAUUGAGGACGCUCAGAAGGAAAUGAACAAAAAAAUGGAAAAAAUGGUUAUGUGGAUGGGGGAGAUGGCCCAAAAUAUUGAAUGCUUGGAGACGACAUUUUAUACAUUGGUAGAAAGGAUCAGGAAAAUUGAAAGGGAAUUUGGUAU
rnacentral:sRNA from 1 species